rnacentral:rRNA from 1 species
UACGAAGGGGGCUAGCGUUGCUCGGAAUCACUGGGCGUAAAGCGCACGUAGGCGGGUCUUUAAGUCAGGGGUGAAGUCCCGGAGCUCAACUCCGGAACUGCCUUUGAUACUGGAGAUCUUGAGUCCGGGAGAGGUGAGUGGAACUCCGAGUGUAGAGGUGAAAUUCGUAGAUAUUCGGAAGAACACCAGUGGCGAAGGCGGCUCACUGGCCCGGUACUGACGCUGAGGUGCGAAAGCGUGGGGAGCAAACAGG